AAUUUGUUUGGUUCAAGUUUGAUCAUAAACUGACAAAAUAACUUAGGUUUCAAAUCAAAUGAAGAAAAGUGAUUGAUCCUUUUGGUUCAUCUAAUUACUACUUCUCUUGGUAAUUUCAUGUAUGAUUACAAAUUUACUCAAUUUAGUUUCACGAUUAGAUUAAAUCAAAAAUGAUUAUGCCCAAUGUCUUGGUAACAUA
rnacentral:lncRNA from 1 species